rnacentral:rRNA from 1 species
UGGGGAAUUUUUCGCAAUGGGCGAAAGCCUGACGAAGCAACGCCGCGUGGAGGAUGACGGCCCUCGUGGUCUUAAACUCCUGUCUAGCGGGACGAAAGUAUUGGAGGUGAAUAAUCUCCGAUAUUGACUGUACCGCUGGAGGAAGCUCCGGCCAACUCCGUGCCAGCAGCCGCGGUAAUACGGAGGGAGCAAGCGUUACUCGGAAUUAUUGGGCGUAAAGGGCGCGUAGGCGAUCUGACAAGUCUGGUGUGAAAGCCCACAUGUUAACUGUGGAAGUGCAUUAGAAACUGUUGGAUUUGAGUUCAGGAGAGGAAGGCAGAAUUCCCGGUGUAGCGGUGAAAUGCGUAGAGAUCGGGAGGAAUACCAGUGGCGAAGGCGGCCUUCUGGACUGACACUGACGCUGAGGCGCGAAAGCCAGGGGAGCAAACGG